AUACGGAGGGGGCUAGCGUUGUUCGGAAUUACUGGGCGUAAAGCGUACGUAGGCGGACUGAUCAGUUGGGGGUGAAAUCCCAGGGCUUAACCCUGGAACUGCCUUCAAUACUGUCAGUCUUGAGAUUGGAAGAGGUGAGUGGAAUUCCUAGUGUAGAGGUGAAAUUCAUAGAUAUUAGGAGGAACACCAGUGGCGAAGGCGGCUCACUGGUCCAAUACUGACGCUGAGGUACGAAAGCGUGGGGAGCGAACAGGAUUAGAUACCCUAGUAGUCC
rnacentral:rRNA from 1 species